CUCAAGGCAACGCCAGAUCCUUAACCCACUGAGUGAAUCCAGGGAUCAAAUCUGCAUCCUCAUGGAUACUCGUCAGGUUUGUUAACCACUAAGCCAUGACAGGAACUCCUACUUCUCAAAUUCUUAACAUUUGCUCAGGUUUCUCAAAAAUGCCACGUAGUAUAUAUUCUUGUCCCCUGUAUUCUAGAAAGUUACAUGCCACUUAUCAACUGAUGCGCCAACUUGAGUUGUGUUUGCAGUCCAAUAAAAUACUGGACUCUGGUACAUGGUUUCACAAUAACCAUUCUAGACCAGUGAUUGCAUCUAUAGUAAGUCAAUUCACAUCCUACCUAGAUAGAUAUAACACUUCAAAAGCCUGAUAAGCCCCUCUAGUUACUUUGCCAGUAUAAUAGGCUUUCCUAUUUUCAGAUUCUUCUGACUUUCUUUUCUUUCUUUUUCUUUUCUCUCAAGAGUUUUAAGAUAGCAAUUUUCUGAAGCCUAGGCUGUCACCCUCUACAAUUCAGAUCUCCUAAGUGGAUUCAGAAGACAAUACUGCCUUGUUCCCAAUGCUCCUCAUUCCAUGAUAAUUCAGUUGUCCACAGUAAAAUGGCAGAAUCCACAGUGUCCUGGACUCAGAGCCACACAGGAGCAUUUCAUAGUCAGGAAUAUGCUAUUCACUCUGGAAUAUUUUCUUAAAGCUAUUUCUUAGAGGAGGGUGGCUCUAUAUCAUGCUGAGCUGAUACAUGUCCAUUGGUAAUAUUCUACCAUGUUCAUUUCAUAUUCUCCGUAGAAUCUUUAGGAGUCUCUAAUUCAUUGAGCCUCGUACCACACCGUGCCCUCCCUGUUCAUUUUAGUUUAUUUUCAACUGACAGAAUCUAUUUUCUGUAAUUUUUCUCAUUUGGUAUUUUUUUUAUCAUGUAUGUUCUCUUCUGCUAUCUCAAAUGUCUUUGUUACCAUAUGUUUCUCUCACAGUCUGAAAGAUGAGGUUCUCAAAAUCAUCACAUGUAUAUUUAUACGAUUUGGGACUAGUGGGUCAGAAAUACAUCUCUUUUAACCAACUACAGCUUCCCCCUUCAGUUAAGUAACUAUUUCUCAAGUCUUCAUAGAAAUAAAACAAAAAUGUGCUAUUUUUCCCUUAACUGUUAUGUGGGAGAUUUUAAUUUACACAUACUUCCCUAAAGAGUAUGUGAACAACGCAGAGCUGCCAACAUAAGAAAUAUUUUCUGGGAAAAUUAAAGAAUUGUAUAAAAGUUGUGUGAAAAAUGGGAUUAGAAAAUUUGGACUUUAUCUUUCUUUUUUUGCUGUUUUCUUUUGUCUUUCAAGACACUGAAUUCAAAAUAUUAGUGUUCCAAAUUCAAAAUUAAAAUCUUACUUUUCAAGAAUAAGCAUACCCUAAUAACUUGAACCAACAGUGUUAAUUUCAGGUUUCUAGAAAGUUAGAGGGCAAAACACAAGUCAGUGUUCAAGGUUGUAUGAUAUGAAACCAAUCCAAGGAAUUAAUACACACACAUAAAGUCAUCCUAAUGAAAAGAUUCCUUAGACAUACUGGAAUAAUGCUAGAUUUUUUGCUUCUCUAUUACAACAAUAAAAUGCUAAUAUAACAACUUCAGGUUGUUCUCAAUUAAGAUAAUAAAGGAAGCAUGCAGAGAAAACAGGAGUGGUUGUCAGGAAGCCUAGUUUACUGCAUACUUAAUUAUGUGCCCACUAGCAUUAGACUUAAACUUUGCUCAUGUUAGCUGAAGUCCAGAACAAUAAUGUGCCUAUUGCUGCCUAUUAAUGCUAUUUGUUCCAUAUUCAUGUUUUUGAUUAAUCAGUCAGCCAGAUCUGCAGAUCACAAGAUGUGGCUCACGGAUGAAGAUUUUUUUUCUUUUUGGCUGUGCCCCCGGCAUGUGGGAGUUCCCUGGCCAGGGAUGGAACCUGAGCCACAGCAGCCACAGGAGCUACAGCAGUGACAAUGUAAGACCCUUAACUCUCUGAGCCACAAGGGAACUCCAAGGUUAUUUAUUUUUUUAUUUAUUACCAAUAGCUCAGUAGCUUGAGUUAACUUUCUGUCAGUUAAAUGCUGUGCAUUCUACUCUGCCUUUUCCUCUGCAUCUUCAAUGGCGACUUAGCCUCGUAAGGAGAAUUUUAACACCUGCAACACUCUGAUAAUAAAAUGCAAAUAAAACUCAAGGAAAGGAUGAGAGGAAUACCACAGGGAGGAAGCAGAAGAUAGAGUUAUUGAGGAAUAUAGGUAAUAAUUUGCAUGAGAGAAUUUAAGAGAUUUUGUUAUAGAAAUAUUGUUUCAGAAUUCUCUCUACACAGAGAUUUGAGCACUACUGCUUCUAAAUUUUGUUACAACUGACUCACUUAUAAAUUAAUCUCCUCGAUGAAAAAGCUAGAUUCAGAUUGCUCGGAAAUAGGAAAUAGGUCCUGAACAAAAUUUGUUACUUUUUUCCCCUGUAACAGAACAACGUAGAAAUACGUCACCAUAUUUUAUGUGUAUUUAUGUGUGUUAAAUAAAAACAUGUUAACUUUUUAAAAAAUGGCUGGGAAGAUGGAAUUCACUCCUACAGUUUUGAACAUUAUGCUAAAAUUAACCAUUCAGUACUGGUUCUCAAUUUAAGUAUCAUGAAGAAUCUAUCGAGAAAGUAAAAAUAGAACCUCUGACUAGAACGAUGGCUCCCUGGAAAAGAUCUUUGAUUGUACUCUGGAGCAGGGAAGAUGGCAGCUGUAGAGAAGACAGAGUAUUUGCAUAUGAAAAGAGCAAAUCUGGUUCAACUCACCUUUGUCAGUACCAGAAGACUCCCAUUCUCCAGCUCCUCCCUUACUCCCUAGGCUUCUGUCAAGUCGGUACUCACUUCUAUUUUGCCUUGUUUUCAUGAAUAUUACCUAGAUGGCUGAUUCCAUCCCCAAGCAACUGAAUGAAAAACAAGUCUGUGCUCAAGUCUCCUCCGUGUUGAUAUCCCAUGCUAUGUCAUGUAAAGCCCGAACUGGUCUGCCAUCAAUGGCCUAAUAUUCUUGGCUCUUUGUGUGCAUGUACCAAACCCAUGUUCCACUUCAGAAACACGUGCUUGCAGCUUUCUGCUGCUCUUUUCAGAAGCAACAUAUGUGCUGCUUAAGAAAGGAUGAAAAUGUUAUUCCAAGAAUGGAAGCAGGUCCCUCUGAAUACUGAAAGAAAUAUUGUGAGUCAGUUAAUGGAAAUCUGUAGUGUUAGAACUAGGGUCACAAAAGAGGAAGCAACACAGGGAACAACCUUAAAUCUUUUACCCGCCUAGGGAUUCAGAUGACAACAUUUUUCCAGAACUGCCAGUCUGACAUAGGAUGCAAAGGGAUUCCUGUUCAGGACAAGCAGAGCAGCCAUCAGUCAAUUUAGCAGUACACAUGGUUAGUGGGGGAAGGGCUGCUUCCUCCAUUCAUCUCUGAACCAAAAGAUGAGGCCAGUGUGGCUGGUGGAGAUAGUUCCUUACAGGAUGGGUGGGAGGAAAGUCAGAGCCUAAGUCACCAAAGGUGGGUGGCUAAGGGAAUGUGCUCAAAUUUGUUGACCUCUGAGGACACAAAAUGAUGCCUAAGAGGCAUUUGGGAGUCUGAGGAAGAAUAAAGGAAAUUGGAACCUUGGGAUGUUGCCUUCAGGGGUUAAGUCUCCUGGGAGAAUCUGAGGUCCAUUUGUUUGGACAGGAAGUAGCAGGCAAGUUGGAAAGCAGUUGUUUAAUCUGGCUAAUUUCCCACACAAAACACUGACUCAUGGUCCGGGUUUCACCAAAUCAUGCAUGAGGCAAGUUGUUAGACACACUUUCCCCUGAAUCAAAAUGCUGCAGAAAAAUUACAUUGUAUAUAUUGCACCCAAGGGCUUACAUUUUAGAAGGUGGUAUUUUAAUUAAGGAAAUUUUUAAAAUUUCAGUGAUAUUUUCCCCAUAAAUGUGUGGGACUUAGUAGUUAUAUGUAGAAUUAACAGUCUUCUGUGAAACUGCCAUUUCUAAUGUCAACUAUUUUAAAGUAGAUUUAAAGUAUUAAAUCAAAGCCCUAUAUGGAUAGAUUAGGAAACAAGGGGAAAAGGGAAGCAGGAGAAUAGAUGGUUCUGAAAGGAUAAUUGGCCUCUCCUGUUAUUGUCUCUAUCGCAAACAGUCUCUGUGGGGGAGGGUGGACACAUUAUCACUCCCCAUUUUUCUUGAGUCUCUUGAAUCAAUCAAAUGUGUGUGGGUUUUUUUUUUUUUUCGUACACAAAAGAAAAUCUCAAUAUUCAUGUUAAAUAUGGGCUUGAAGGGUGUCAAUUCUCUCAUUGUAAGACGGUUGACUCACAGGAAGUAACAGAAGGUUGGUAGAGAACGUAAAGCUAGAAAUGACUAGUGAGCCAGGAGACUUGACACAAGAGGAGGAAGACACUGGGUCUGUGGGUGAGAAAUCAAAUGUGGACUUGAAAUCAAAUGCUUGAAGGCAGAAAGGGUCUAAUUAUUCGGAGCAAAAUCCACAAGCUUCACACUCUGUGGAAACAGAUCAGACAACUUCAAAGAGGGACAGGUUCUCCGAGAAUCAGAGUUUAGAGGAAACAAAGAGCACACUUCUUAUAAUACUUGGGAUCUCCAAGGAGAGCCUUGAGCUCAGCAGAGAGCCUGUGAGCUGGAGGUAGAUGCUUCAUUGCCCCAGCUAUGCAGGAAGUUUCAGAACAAAGGAGCAACAGUCGUUUAUACUACCCACACUAACCUAGAGAAGAACCAACUUCUCAGCAUUCCCAGGACAUACAGGAGACGAGGUAAGAUGAGAAUAUGAGACACCUUCUGUUUGAAGGUCUCCUUGGUAGUUCUUUCUUGCUCCCUGCAGGAAAUAGUCAAAGGCUCAAGAUCACAGGUUCCAGUCCUGACUGCAUGACUUUGGAUUUGUGUUGAAGUCUCAGUAUCCUCCUCUGGAAAUGGGGAUGAUCAUUACAGUGAUUCUCACUGAGAACAUGUGAAGAUCUAAUUAAAUACGUGGGAAAAAGAUUUGUUAAUUUCCUAAUGAUGUAUUCAUAAUGUACGUCUCACUUCGAUGAAUACUAACUCGAACACUGUAAAACUGGAAUUCUUAUGCACAACUUGCAGAUAAGGAAUCAGCUUUACAGAGAGGGUAAGAGACUAACCCACAACAAUAAUAAAAUACCAUUGAGCAAUCAUGUAUAUACUAGCACCGUUUUAGUGCCUUAGGUACCCUACCUCAUUUCAUCCACAAAACAACCCAGAGAAGAGGAAUAGUUCAGAAAUGCACAGGGAGCCAGUAGCAGAAUCUAGAUUCAAAUGCUUUGAGAUUGGCAGCCCAGCCCAUGCUUUCAAAUCAAUCACAUGUAGCAUCUGCCCUUGCACUGCCUUCUCUCAGGGUCACAUGUGGUAGGCUGAAAUCUAGGCUCAAAUCUCUGGACCCCAGUCCAUCUCUACUCUUUUAGUUGUCUGUUAUGCUUCUUGUUACUUAUGUAUGUAUGUUCUUAAGGGCAUCUCUAUAGGAAAAUGGCUUGCUUCCUGAUGCUGUCAUAACACAGGAAUCUUGAAGUUACUUUUUGAAAAAUGGGGGCAUAAAGUUCUAUGCAGAUAAACAGCUCUCCAGUUUAGUUAUAGGACCCACUUGUUCAGCUCAGCCUAUGACUGAUUCUUCCUGUCAGUUCUCUCUAGAUGAACUCCAAGGGCAGUUGGGUUCUAACCUUCCUAAUGUAAUUUCCUAACAACAAAAUAUCCAUGGUUAAAUAACUGUCUUCACUGCAAAUACUAAAAUGAAUUGCUUUUUACAAACAAUUCUGUGAGCAACAAUUACAAAACAUUUCAAGGGCAUUUCUAAAUAUAUAGAUUUAUUUUCUGGAGAAAUGUGAAUUCAAAAGCAAUGGCAUUCAUGCUUGCGUUCAUUCUGUGGACAUUUAUUGAAUGUCUAAAUGUGCAUACUAUGAUUCUAGGUGACAGUUUCAUAGCAGUGAACAGGAAAGCAAGUUCCCUAUUUUAUGGAGCUUAUAGUCUAGCAAGACAUAAAGUGUUAAAAAAAAAUCAUUUAGUGUGAAUUUUAAACAGGGUGGUUAAAUUGAUAAUGUUGGGGGGAGCAUGGAUCAAGAAAAGCUUCUGUGAUGAAAUGACAUCUGAGCUGUGACCUAAAACACACCAAGGCGCUAGCUAAGAGGGGGAGGACAAAUUCAAAGACCCAAAUGCUUGGCCUGUUUGACAAAUGAAAAAGAAGAGCAGUGAGGUUGAGAAUGAGGCUGGCAGAGUGGGCUGGAAGAAUAGCACAGGCAAGAUGAGAAGGCUUGCUUCUCGAGAUCCUUUAAAGUGUGGUAAGUUAUUUCGAUUUUAUUCCAUGUGAAAUGGAAGCCAUUGAAGGAUUUUUAACUAGUGAUGUAAAGAAAUCAUGAUUAUAUUUUAAAAGGAUUAUUACUGUUUUUCUGUCAGGAAGGAAGUGUGUAGGGGCAAGAGCAGCUGCCAGCAGACCCAUGAAGAUGCCUUUAACCCACCCAGAAAUUCAUGAGAAGAGAGGGAUCAAGAAGGAGGAGGCACAGCCCAACGGUUAAAAGCAGGAGCUUCAGAAUCAGACAAAACGCAACUUGGAUCCUGACUCUCUCACUCAACUUCCGUAAGAUCUUUGGAAAGUUGAUCACUGAGAAUCUUAGAUUUUUCAUCUCUCCGUUGAAAAUAAUAUGGGAGAACACGUUUUGUACUCAGACUCCUGGGUUCAGUUGUUGGGCUUAUUACUUUACCUGCUUAUGUCUUAGUUUCCUUCCCAUGAAACAAGGACGAUAACAGAGUAAUUAUCCUAUAAUGGACUCAUCUCAUAAUGAAAUUGUGAGAAUUAAAGUAAUUAAUUUAUGUAAAUUAUUUAGAACAAUGUAUGGUGAACAAAUAAGCACUCAAUACAUGUUAGCUAUUUUUAAUGUUAUUACCCUUCAGAAUUGUGGUUACGGAAAACAUAGCACACUGUUUAUAAAGAGAUAAGCCCAAAGUAGAUGCUCAAAACAUGGUAGCUAUUACUGGGUUCUCUUAGUAGUUGGCAAAAUGACUUCUUUUAGAGUGGUCCCCAAAAUUACUGUCCAGUAGAAUGUAACGUUUUAUAAGGAAUGUAUCAUACUAUGAGAAUAAAGGAAAUGACAUUCAACUUAUAAUCAGGCAAUAAAAUAGAGCAAGCACAGGCCUUGUCUAGUUCUUAGCAGUUGCUUCUCUUAAUUGCUUGAAUAGCGUCUUGCAUCUUCUAUGAAGUAAUCUUUUCAUCAACUGAUUAUAUACAAAAAUAUACCUCUGUGCUUAGUGUUCCCUUUAGCUUGCCCAGGAUACCAUGUAGAGGGUAAAAAAUACUAAAGAAGAUCUAGUAAAAUCUUCCAUUCUCCCACUGGAGCUUUAAAAAAGUCAGAGCUUUAUGAUCAUUUAUAGAACACAGAUCAGCAGGAGAGUAAAAGUGUGAACACAGGAGAAAAUUGGCAAGUUUGGCCUCCUAGGGUGUUUUUUUUUUUUUUUUUUUUUUUCUUUUAGAGAAACAUAUAAAACAAUGCCUGACUUAUAGCAAUUCAUAAAAUAUGAAUAAAUCUGACAUGCAGGAUAAUGAAGGCCUUAGCAAGCUAUAAAAUGCUGUCCAUAAAGAGAUGAGAUAGUAUUUGUGCAGCAUGUCAAUAGGGCACCUUUUAUGCAUAUUUGCAAAUUCUGGACCCAGAAAAUUGAUCCUAUGAGUUACAGAACUUUUUAUUUUUCUAUCUGGGCUACUAGGAAUACAGUGGCUGUAUACACAAAACUUAAAACCAGUACACAUAAUCACAUAUAUGAUCCAACAGAAGAAUAAAGCACUUGGAAUAAGCACUCUAUUGAACAAGGCCUUAAUAACCAAACGGGACAACCUCUCCUUACUGAAAGCCAUUCUAACAUUUGAAGUAACUUAGCUAGGGAUGUCCUGCCAUUGUACCAUGACAUGAUGUUGUGGUGAAACUUAAUUUUAAUCACUGAUUUCUAGGCUGGUAUAUUAAUCAUUUAUCUGAUACAGGUAUAUAGUGGGUUGCAUGCCCACAGCCUUAAAAAAAAAAUCCUCCAUAUCCAUAGAAAAAAACAGAGUUUCUGCAAGGGUGUGCUUCAAUUUGUGUAUUUAGCCACAUUAUGGCAGAACCGACAUGGCUUGCAGAGUGAAUGGCAAGUAAUUUCCUAUAAAGCACUUGGAAUCAUUUGGAUUCUUCGGUGCCAUGAUUCCAAAAGACUAGGAAGUAGAUGAAUCAAGAAAUCUAUUUGAGAACACAGUUUUCAUUUAUCUUCUAGGAAAAUAAGAUGGUUGGCUUUGUAUAUGCAACUUGGUACAAUAAUAAAAAAGUGGUUAUGGCA